rnacentral:tRNA from 1 species
AGAAAAGAAGCGACUAAUUGCAUUCAGUUUCGACCUGAACCUAGGUUUAAACUUACCCCUUUCUU